AGGUGCUUCGGGGGUGACGAUGGUCCAAGUCCCUUGGAAUUGGGCGUCAUAGAGGGUGAGAAUCCCGUAUGGCACCAUCCGUCAACCCCUUGUGAAGCCCUUUCGACGAGUCGAGUUGUUUGGGAAUGCAGCUCUAAAUGGGUGGUAAAUUUCAUCUAAAGCUAAAUACCUGCCAGAGACCGAUAGCGCACAAGUAGAGUGAUCGAAAGAUGAAAAGAACUUUGAAAAGAGAGUUAAACAGUACGUGAAAUUGUUAAAAGGGAAGCGCUCGCAAUCAGACUUGAUUGCAGGGGUUCAGUCGUUCUUCGGAGCGGUGUACUCCCCUGUUUACGGGCCAGCAUCGGUUUUGACGGACAGAUAAAGGUCUUGGGAAAGUAGCUCUCCUCGGAGAGUGUUAUAGCCUGAGGCGUAAUGUGUCCUGUCAAGACCGAGGAUCGCGCUUUUGCUAGGAUGCUGGCGUAAUGGUUGCUAGCGACCCGUCUUGAAACACGGACCAGUGAGUUUUGUAUUCAUUUUUCUCAGCAGAGUUGAAUAAGCUAAUCUUUUUUAACAGAGGAGUCGACCAAUCGCGCGAGUGUUUGGGUGUAAAACCCAAGCGCGCAGUGAAAGCAAACGUAGGUGGGAGCCUUUGGCGCACCAUCGACCGAUCUUGAUGUCUUCGGAUGGAUUUGAGUAUGAGCACGGUCGGUCGGACCCGAAAGAUGGUGAACUAUGCGUGAAUAGAAUGAASCCAGGGGAAACCCUGGYGGAAGUUCKCAGCGGUUCUGACGUGCAAAUCGAUCGUCAAAUUUGCGCAUAGGGGCGAAMGACUAAUCGAACCGUCUAGGUAUGUCACUUUACUGAAAUCUUGUGUUCUUUUCUAACAAAUUCUACAGUAGCUGGUUCCUGUCGAAGUUUCCCUCAGGAUAGCAGCAACGAGAAACAGUCUCAUGAGGUAGAGCGAACGAUUAGAGGCCUUGGGGCUGAAACA
rnacentral:rRNA from 1 species